rnacentral:rRNA from 1 species
UACGGGGGGGGCUAGCGUUGUUCGGAAUUACUGGGCGUAAAGGGCGCGUAGGCGGCCUACUAAGUCGGACGUGAAAUCCCUCGGCUCAACCGGGGAACUGCGUCCGAUACUGGUGGGCUCGAAUCCGGGAGAGGGAUGUGGAAUUCCAGGUGGAGUGGUGAAAUGCGUAGAGAUCCGGAGGAACACCAGAGGCGAAGGCGGCCUGCUGGGCUGCACCUGACGCUGAGCCGCGAAAGCCAGGGGAGCGAACGGG